rnacentral:rRNA from 1 species
AUUGAACGCUGGCGGCAGGCCUAACACAUGCAAGUCGAGCGGAUGAAGGGAGCUUGCUCCUGGAUUCAGCGGCGGACGGGUGAGUAAUGCCUAGGAAUCUGCCUGGUAGUGGGGGAUAACGUCCGGAAACGGGCGCUAAUACCGCAUACGUCCUGAGGGUGAAAGUGGGGGUUCUUCGGACCUCACGCUAUCAGAUGAGCCUAGGUCGGAUUAGCUAGUUGGUGGGGUAAAGGCCUACCAAGGCGCCGAUCCGUAACUGGUCUGAGAGGAUGAUCAGUCACACUGGAACUGAGACACGGUCCAGACUCCUACGGGAGGCAGCAGUGGGGAAUAUUGGACAAUGGGCGAAAGCCUGAUCCAGCCAUGCCGCGUGUGUGAAGAAGGUCUUCGGAUUGUAAAGCACUUUAAGUUGGGAGGAAGGGCAGUAAGUUAAUACCUUGCUGUUUUGACGUUACCAACAGAAUAAGCACCGGCUAACUUCGUG